rnacentral:rRNA from 1 species
UUAGAAAGUCACGGCUAACUACGUGCCAGCAGCCGCGGUAAUACGUAGGUGGCAAGCGUUGUCCCGGAAUUAUUGGGCGUAAAGCGCGCGCAGGUGGUUUCUUAAGUCUGAUGUGAAAGCCCACGGCUCAACCGUGGAGGGUCAUUGGAAACUGGGAGACUUGAGUGCAGAAGAGGAUAGUGGAAUUCCAAGUGUAGCGGUGAAAUGCGUAGAGAUUUGGAGGAACACCAGUGGCGAAGGCGACUAUCUGGUCUGUAACUGACACUGAGGCGCGAAAGCGUGGGGAGCAAACAGGAUUAGAUACCCUGGUAGUCCACGCCGUAAACGAUGAGUGCUAAGUGUUAGGGGGUUUCCGCCCCUUAGUGCUGCAGCUAACGCAUUAAGCACUCCGCCUGGGGAGUACGGUCGCAAGACUGAAACUCAAAGGAAUUGACGGGGGCCCGCACAAGCGGUGGAGCAUGUGGUUUAAUUYGAAGCAACGCGAAGAACCUUACCAGGUCUUGACAUCCCGUUGACCACUGUAGAGAUAUAGUUUCCCCUUCGGGGGCAACGGUGACAGGUGGUGCAUGGUUGUCGUCAGCUCGUGUCGUGAGAUGUUGGGUUAAGUCCCGCAACGAGCGCAACCCUUGAUYUUAGUUGCCAUCAUUUAGUUGGGCACUCUAAGGUGACUGCCGGUGACAAACCGGAGGAAGGUGGGGAUGACGUCAAAUCAUCAUGCCCCUUAUGACCUGGGCUACACACGUGCUACAAUGGACGAUACAAACGGUUGCCAACUCGCGAGAGGGAGCUAAUCCGAUAAAGUCGUUCUCAGUUCGGAUUGUAGGCUGCAACUCGCCUACAUGAAGCCGGAAUCGCUAGUAAUCGCGGAUCASCAUGCCGCGGUGAAUACGUUCCCGGGCCUUGUACACACCSCCCGUCCCACCMCGAGAGUUUGUAACACCCGAAGUCGKUGMGGUMACC